rnacentral:rRNA from 1 species
AACGAACGCUGGCGGCAUGCCUAACACAUGCAAGUCGAACGAGACCUUCGGGUCUAGUGGCGCACGGGUGCGUAACGCGUGGGAACCUGCCCUUAGGUUCGGAAUAACUCCCCGAAAGGGGUGCUAAUACCGGAUAAUGUCUUCGGACCAAGGAUUUAUCGCCUUUGGAUGGGCCCGCGUUGGAUUAGCUAGUUGGUAGGGUAAAAGCCUACCAAGGCGACGAUCCAUAGCUGGUCUGAGAGGAUGAUCAGCCACACUGGGACUGAGACACGGCCCAGACUCCUACGGGAGGCAGCAGUGGGGAAUACUGGACAAUGGGCGAAAGCCUGAUCCAGCAAUGCCGCGUGAGUGAUGAAGGCCUUAGGGUUGUAAAGCUCUUUUACCCGGGAUGAUAAUGACAGUACCGGGAGAAUAAGCUCCGGCUAACUCCGUG